rnacentral:rRNA from 1 species
UACGUAGGGGGCAAGCGUUAUCCGGAUUUACUGGGUGUAAAGGGGGCGCAGACGGCAAUGCAAGCCAGGAGUGAAAGCCCGGGGCCCAACCCCGGGACUGCUCUUGGAACUGCAUGGCUGGAGUACAGGAGGGGCAGGCGGAAUUCCUAGUGUAGCGGUGAAAUGCGUAGAUACUAGGAGGAACACCGGUGGCGAAGGCGGCCUGCUGGACUGUGACUGACGUUGAGGCCCGAAGGCGUGGGGAGCAAACAGG